CGCCAUAGAACAGUGUCUGCUCUGCGGCUCCGCUAACCAAGGCAACCACGACAUAUACAAUACAAGGUGUCACAAGAAUGAGUUUGUUGAGGUUUCGUGAGGUUUUCAGUUUGUUUGAUGUUACGUCACGCAGAUGGCACAUUUUCUUUAUAUUUUUACUUCAUAUUCUUAAUAGCAAGUGGACAAUGUGCUGUGUUGGUGACGUCACACAAAACUCAGAAGCUGAUUACUUAAGGUUUGUCCUGUGCAGCCUCGUAUUUUAUAAGCCUUGCUGCUGACAUUCAUCAAAUAUGACUAGUGGCGCACCGGUGAGCAAAAAAAGUGUUUCUUUAUUGACUUACUGCGAACGAUCAGG